UACGAAAGGGGGGCUAGCGUUGUUCGGAUUUACUGGGCGUAAAGCGCACGUAGGCGGAUCGUUAAGUCGGGGGUGAAAUCCUGGAGCUCAACUCCAGAACUGCCUUCGAUACUGGCGAUCUUGAGUCCGGAAGAGGUGAGUGGAACUCCUAGUGUAGAGGUGGAAUUCGUAGAUAUUUAGGAAGAACACCAGUGGCGAAGGCGGCUCACUGGUCCGGUACUGACGCUGAGGCACGAAAGCGUGGGGAGCAAACAGGG
rnacentral:rRNA from 1 species